rnacentral:rRNA from 1 species
AACCUUUACACUGCACGCCAGUGCGAUAAGGGGACUCCAAGUGCGAGGGCAUAUAGUCCUCGCUUUUCUGGACCGUAAGGAGGUCCAGGAACAAGGGCUGGGCAAGACCGGUGCCAGCCGCCGCGGUAAUACCGGCAGCCCAAGUGAUGGCCGCUCUUAUUGGGCCUAAAGCGUCCGUAGCUGGCCAGGCAAGUCCGUCGGGAAAUCCGCACGCCCAACGUGCGGGCGUCCGGUGGAAACUGCCUGGCUUGGGACCGGAAGACCUGAGGGGUACGUCCGGGGUAGGAGUGAAAUCCCGUAAUCCUGGACGGACCACCGGUGGCGAAAGCGCCUCAGGAAGACGGACCCGACGGUGAGGGACGAAAGCUCGGGUCACGAACCGGAUUAGAUACCCGGGUAGUCCGAGCUGUAAACGAUGUCUGCUAGGUGUGACACAGGCUACGAGCCUGUGUUGUGCCGUAGGGAAGCCGUGAAGCAGACCGCCUGGGAAGUACGUCCGCAAGGAUGAAACUUAA